rnacentral:lncRNA from 1 species
CAGGCUGGCAGAAAUGGGAACCUGGUGUCUAAGAUUUCCACCAAAGAUAGAUGUGGUAUCCUAGAAUAAAGACACCCUAAAGCCAUUGGAAGACUACCUUCCAUUUUGUACAGCAAGGCAAUUGGCUCACAGAGCUCAGGCACUUGAAACCUAGUGUACAAAAGACACAGAAGCACAGGUGUGGUGGAGAUAUUGAAGGGAGAGUCAGUAGUACCAAGACUGCAGAAGCAGAAAAGUUGAAAAAGUUUCAGACCCACAGAUAUGACUACCUUUCGGCUGAGUUGGGAAAGUAGCAUCCACUGACAGGCCUGGAGGAUUGCGGUUGCUUUUUCCAUGCAGCACGGGAAGAGUUUGGGCUGUGCUCACCCAGUCCUGCCAGCCGCAUAGCUGGUGCUUCCCUAUCACUCUGGUGUUUCCUUACAGACCAUGGAGAGAGUGGGACUCAGGGACCAGGUGAGCUGACUUGGUGCCUGAUGCUAGAAGGGUUGAAUGCUCUGUGCACAGGGAACAGAGGACUGUCCCGUGUACAUCAGAUUAGAAAAGUUG